rnacentral:rRNA from 1 species
UACGUGGAGGGCAAGCGUUGUUCGGAAUUACUGGGCGUAAAGGGCGCGUAGGCGGCCUGUUAAGUCGAACGUGAGAUCCCCGGGCUCAACCCGGGAACUGCGUCCGAUACUGGCAGGCUUGAAUCCGGGAGAGGGAUGCGGAAUUCCAGGUGUAGCGGUGAAAUGACGUAGAUAUCUGGAGGAACACCGGUGGCGAAGGCGGCAUCCUGGACCGGUAUUGACGCUGAGGCGCGAAAGCCAGGGGAGCAAAGCGGG